rnacentral:rRNA from 1 species
AUUGAACGCUGGCGGCAGGCCUAACACAUGCAAGUCGAGCGAGCGGCGGACGGGUGAGUAAUGUAUGGGGAUCUGCCCGAUAGAGGGGGAUAACUACUGGAAACGGUGGCUAAUACCGCAUACUAUCGGAUGAACCCAUAUGGGAUUAGCUAGUAGGUGGGGUAAGGGCUCACCUAGGCGACGAUCUCUAGCUGGUCUGAGAGGAUGCUCGGCCACACGGGAAUUGAAACACGGCCCAGACUCCUCCGGGAGGCAGCAGUGGGAAAUAUUGAAAAAUGGGCGCAAGCCUGAUGAAGCCAGGCCGCGUGUAGGAAGAAGGCCUUAGGGUUGUAAAGUACUUUCAGCGGGGAGGCGUUACCCGCAGAAGAAGCACGGGCAAACUCCGUGCCAGCAGCCGCGGUAAUA